rnacentral:rRNA from 1 species
GGGUGAACGCUGGCGGCGUGCCUAACACAUGCAAGUCGAUCGGAGCAGCAAUGCUUAGAGGCGAACGGGUGAGGAAAACGUAGUAACCAACCCUUUAGACUGGGAUAGCCACUGGAAACGGUGGGUAAUACCGGAUAAGCUCGAGAGAGGAAAGGCAGAGAAGCGCUAAAGGACGGAACUGCGCCCCAUCAGAUAGUUGGUAGGGUAAUGGCCUACCAAGGCACAGACGGGUAGGGGGCGUGAGAGCGUGACCCCCCACACUGGUACUGACACACGGACCAGGUGCCUACGGGUAGCAGCAGCUAGGAAUAUUGGGCAAUGGGCGAAAGCCUGACCCAGCAACACCGCGUGAAGGACGAAAGCCUUCGGGUUGUAAACUUCUUUUCGAGGGAAUGAGAAAGGACAGUACCCUCGGAAUAAGGCCCGGCUAACUACGUGCCAGCAGCCGCGGUAAUACGUAGGGGCCAAGCGUUAUCCGGAUUUACUGGGCGUAAAGCGCAUGUAGGCGGUUGACUAAGUCGGAUGUGAAAGCUCCUGGCUUAACUGGGAGAGGCCAUUCGAAACUAGUCGGCUGGAGGGUGGUAGAGGAGAGCGGAAUUCCAGGUGUAGCGGUGAAAUGCGUAGAUAUCUGGAGGAACACCAGUGGCGAAAGCGGCUCUCUGGACCAUUCCUGACGCUGAGAUGCGAAAGCCAGGGGAGAGAACGGGAUUAGAAACCCCGGUAUUCCUGGCCGUAAACGAUGUCAACUAGGCGUAGGAGGUUAUAAACCCCUUCUGUGCUGUAGCAAACGCGUUAAGUUGACCGCCUGGGGACUACGGCCGCAAGGCUAAAACUCAAAGGAAUUGACGGGUCCCCGCACAAGCAGCGGAGCGUGUGGUUUAAUUCGAGGCUACACGAAGAACCUUACCAGGGUUUGACAUGCUAGUGGUAGUGAAGCGAAAGCGGAACGACCCUUCGGGGAGCUAGCACAGGUGCUGCAUGGCUGUCGUCAGCUCGUGUCGUGAGAUGUCAGGUUAAGUCCUGUAACGAGCGCAACCCUCGUCGUUAGUUACAAGUGUCUAACGAGACUGCCCGUGAUAAGCGGGAGGAAGGUGAGGAUGACGUCAAGUCAGCAUGGCCUUUAUGUCCUGGGCUACACACACGCUACAAUGGCCAGUACAAUGGGUAUCCAAGUCGCGAGACGGAGCCAAUCCCGCAAAGCUGGUCUCAGUUCGGAUUGCAGGCUGCAACCCGCCUGCAUGAAGUCGGAGUUGCUAGUAACCGCGCGUCAGCCAUAGUGCGGUGAAUACGUUCCCGGGGAU